rnacentral:rRNA from 1 species
GAUCAUGGCUCAGGAUGAACGCUAGCGACAGGCCUAACACAUGCAAGUCGAGGGGCAGCGGGGAGGUAGCAAUACCUUUGCCGGCGACCCGCGCACGGGUGAGUAACACGUAUGCAAUCCACCUGUAACAGGGGGAUAACCCGGAGAAAUCCGGACUAAUACCCCAUAAUAUGGGCUCUCCGCGUGGAGGGUUCAUUAAAGAGAGCAAUUUUGGUUACAGACGAGCAUGCGCUCCAUUAG